rnacentral:rRNA from 1 species
UACGGAGGAGGCAAGCGUUAUCCGGAAUUAUUGGGCGUAAAGCGUCCGUAGGUGGGUUAUCAAGUCUGCUGUCAAAGCGUGGGGCUUAACCUCAUAAGGGCAGUGGAAACUGGUAGUCUAGAGUGCGACAGGGGCAAGGGGAAUUCCUAGUGUAGCGGUGAAAUGCGUAGAGAUUAGGAAGAACACCGGUGGCGAAAGCGCCUUGCUGGGUCUGCACUGACACUGAGGGACGAAAGCCAGGGGAGCGAAAGGGAUUAGAAACCCCGUAGUCC